GGGGCAUCAGCAGAAACAACAGCAGCAGCAAUGGAGGCUUGCUGGCACAGAAAAGCAGCAAGAGAGAAGAGGGAGCAGUGUCCCAUUUUGAGAACAAGGAAAUAUGUUCACCAUACAUAAGGCUGAUUUAAUCAGGAACGCAAAGAUUACUAGAAAGCUACUUGCAUAUAAACAACACAAGAAAAAAAGAGAAACAGACCAAA